GUGAGUGGAAGCUCAUUGUAGAGAUCACGUGCUGAGUGUUCAUCACUCUACCAAUCAUCUCGGGGAAGGUCUGAGACAAGAGCCAAUAGUUGUCCUUGCAGGACAUCACCUGAUUCGGGUGAGCGAGUGAACAGAAAAUAUGGGUCAACUCGUGCAGUUCUAACAGGAGAAGCCGGUGGGGGCAGUUUCUCAGCCCCGCCGGCGGAUGUGACGCACGCUGACUUGGAAUCGCUCGCGGCUGGCAAAUGAGUGCGAUGUGUGAGGUGGAGCACUGCUCUAGAACCCAAUUCAGACUACUCUCCACUCAC
ensembl:ribozyme RNaseP_nuc Nuclear RNase P